GAGUUUGAUCUUGGCUCAGAUUGAACGCUGGCGGCAUGCCUUACACAUGCAAGUCGAACGGCAGCACGGGAGCUUGCUCCUGGUGGCGAGUGGCGAACGGGUGAGUAAUGCAUCGGAACGUAUCCUGGAGUGGGGGAUAACGUAGCGAAAGUUACGCUAAUACCGCAUAUUCUGUGAGCAGGAAAGCGGGGGGACCUUCGGGGCCUCGCGCUCUUGGAGCGGCCGAUGUCGGAUUAGCUAGUUGGUGAGGUAAAGGCUCACCAAGGCGACGAUCCGUAGCAGGUCUGAGAGGAUGAUCUGCCACACUGGAACUGAGACACGGUCCAGACUCCUACGGGAGGCAGCAGUGGGGAAUUUUGGACAAUGGGGGCAACCCUGGAUCCAGCCAUGCCGCGUGAGUG
rnacentral:rRNA from 1 species